rnacentral:pre_miRNA from 1 species
AACUUUUCGAAUCCAUGCAGAGAUCUCGUCAGACACCAACCCGUUUCGGCUGAUCAGACUUCCAAGAUGAGUGAAGCU